UGCUGGGGGUUGAGGGACGCGUUGCGAGCCCCGGAUACAUUGUACCCUGGGGGUACAUAAUGAAGGAUGCUGUACCUGAAAGGAAAAGGGCAUCUCCAAAAGGGGACUUCGCGGGUGGAAUUUCCUUCCAAAAUCCUCGAGGAACAAGGUGUAUUUCCGACCUGGAUUAAUGAAUCCCCCCUCCUAUCCCGCACUUCCUGUGGAAACAGUGUCAGGAUGUGGCGCGGACCUAUGUGCGUCCCUUAUACCAGGACUUGCCUUCAACGCUGAAGGUGAACCCUGGGUCAUCCUCGCUGUAUUCAGGCGGCGCUGCAAAGGCUUCUGGGCAGCCAAUAGGCCCUUGAGCGCCUCAGCCCCAUCUUGCUUCAGUAGGCAAACGGACGGGUGUCUUCAUCCACCUCCUAGGCCGUGGUCUACCCUUCGUUCAAAUGUUUCUUCCUGCUAGCUGACUGUCCAGGUCCUUAGCUGUAUCACAUUGUUCAAAUGUGUGUGCGCAGGUGUUUCUUUUUCAACUAAUCAUGCAGGAAGUGGCGGGAUGCCUUACUGCCAUUAUUUGCUGAGUAUUUCCAGAUGGAACUGUAGUUGAUAGCCAAUAAAUUUGGUACGUUUUUAUCGGGAUGCGCAUGCCAUAGAUCGUCCCUGAGAUAAUGCUUUGCAAUGUGGAACCUGAAACACCUAUGUAUAAGCCCAAGCCUUUCAUUAAUAUUAACUGUGAGACCCCUGGAAGCUACUACUUUGUGUGAGCCUGUUUUCUCCGCCCUCAAACAGUGGAUAUAAUACCCCCUUGCAAGGCUGUGAGAUUAAAUGGAUAACUGUGCAUAAUGCUAAGCAUGGUGUCUGGGACGUAAGAGGUUCCUUAUAUCCCAUUAGUUCACUAGGUGGGAUCACCAAGUUGAAAUUCAUUUUUUAAUAUUUUGCUUGUUGGAGUACUCACAACUCAACUUCUCUGGCUAAUUUGAUGUUUAAUUUGAAAGGUAAUGACACUAUUUUGUAACAUUUUUAGAUGCUUAAGGGAAAUUUGAAAUGCAAAGUGGAACAACAUUAAAAGGAAACUCAUUUGUAAAAUAAAGAAAAACAAAAUCUAUGCAAGCCAAAGAAGUCAUGAAUGCUGAGGAAGCAAAAAUUGUGAUUUUCCCCUCUCCAAUCCCACUGUUCAUUUAUCUUUAUUU
rnacentral:lncRNA from 10 species